AACACAUGACAUGAUCAAAUAAACUUACAGAACCAUGAAACCUGACGCAGAAAACCCAAAUCAGAACAGAGUAACACACAGGCUAUAAUUAAAACUGGAUGCCACAACUAUGAACCCACAACUAUAGGCGUCUAUAGAUGCCUCAGAUUCCACAGCGGGGAACAAUGAAGAGUAUAAAAGCUCAACAAUAGUUUCAUUCUCUUCAUCCUGCACACCUGAAACCGGGGGACACCUAACAUCAUCAUCCACCUUCAGCUGGUCAUGGAGUACAUUGGUAACAUAUUGGCCUUAUGCAAAGGCAUCAUAAGUAUGGCAGGUAGGGUUCAGACCUGCAAAGACACCUGUCGCAAUAUCGCAGACCGAGUCAGAGAUCUGGAAAGGCUGGUUCACUCCCUCAGACAAAGCCAGACUUCUGGAAACGUGAACAGAGCUCUCACCGAACUCUCCAAUACUCUGAGCACAGCCCAGGAGCUGGUCAGGAAAUGCACCAAGAGCAAAGUCAAGAACCUGAUGACGUACAGCAAGUUAAAAAGUGUGGAUAAUCGUCUCACUAACAAGAUGCAGGUCCUCAACACAUAUCUGCAGGCUGACCAGUUGGCCCUUGCGUAUCCUUCUGCAGUUGCCUGCAGGCCUCAAACCCCCACUGUUGUUCAUGCAGCCAUGCUUGAGAUGGAAGAUGAUACCAUGACUUUCACGGAGGUUGUCGUUGUUGCGCAGUGAUUUGGAAAGGCCUUCGGUCAGACAACACGACUGAACACAGCACAGAACAAAUAAUGGAGGAGCAGCCAACCACCACAACAGACCCAUCUAUAAAUGAAUAUUGUUUUAAGGCUUCACUUUCUAGUAUGAAGUGAUGGUAAAAAUAUUUUGUUCCAGUAGUUUAGUCCAAGUCAUUCAUUAGUAGUUUACAGCGUGUUUAUCAGAUAUUCGUAGCUGAAAAGCAAGAAACUUUAAGCAUGCAAAUAAA